GGUUUGUUAAGUCAGAUGUGAAAGCCCGGGGCUCAACCUCGGAAUUGCAUUUGAAACUGGCAGACUAGAGUACUGUAGAGGGGGGUAGAAUUUCAGGUGUAGCGGUGAAAUGCGUAGAGAUCUGAAGGAAUACCGGUGGCGAAGGCGGCCCCCUGGACAGAUACUGACACUCAGAUGCGAAAGCGUGGGGAGCAAACAGGAUUAGAUACCCUGGUAGUCCACGCCGUAAACGAUGUCUACUUGGAGGUUGUGGCCUUGAGCCGUGGCUUUCGGAGCUAACGCGUUAAGUAGACCGCCUGGGGAGUACGGUCGCAAGAUUAAAACUCAAAUGAAUUGACGGGGGCCCGCACAAGCGGUGGAGCAUGUGGUUUAAUUCGAUGCAACGCGAAGAACCUUACCUACUCUUGACAUCCAGAGAACUUUCCAGAGAUGGAUUGGUGCCUUCGGGAACUCUGAGACAGGUGCUGCAUGGCUGUCGUCAGCUCGUGUUGUGAAAUGUUGGGUUAAGUCCCGCAACGAGCGCAACCCUUAUCCUUGUUUGCCAGCGAGUAAUGUCGGGAACUCCAGGGAGACUGCCGGUGAUAAACCGGAGGAAGGUGGGGACGACGUCAAGUCAUCAUGGCCCUUACGAGUAGGGCUACACACGUGCUACAAUGGCGCAUACAGAGGGCGGCCAACUUGCGAAAGUGAGCGAAUCCCAAAAAGUGCGUCGUAGUCCGGAUUGGAGUCUGCAACUCGACUCCAUGAAGUCGGAAUCGCUAGUAAUCGUGGAUCAGAAUGCCACGGUGAAUACGUUCCCGGGCCUUGUACACACCGCCCGUCACACCAUGGGAGUGGGCUGCAAAAGAAGUAGGUAGUUUAACCUUCGGGGGGACGCUUACCACUUUGUGGUUCAUGACUGGGGUGAAGUCGUAACAAGGUAGCGCUAGGGGAACCUGGCGCUGGAUCACCUCCUUAAACGAUGAU
rnacentral:rRNA from 1 species